GAUGAACGCUGGCGGCGUGCAUAAAACAUGCAAGUCGAGCGCGGGAUGGUGACUUCGGUUGCCAUCUCUAGCGGCGAACGGGUGAGUAACACGUGAGCAACCUACCUUUGAGUCCGGAAUAGCCCUGGGAAACCAGGAUUAAUGCCGGAUGUGGUCACGACGAGACAUCUCGAUGUGAGUAAAGGGGAAACCCGCUCAAUGACGGGCUCGCGGCUUAUUAGCUUGUUGGUGGGGUAACGGCCUACCAAGGCGAUGAUGGGUAGCUGGUCUGAGAGGACGAUCAGCCACACUGGGACUGAGACACGGCCCAGACUCCUACGGGAGGCAGCAGUUAGGAAUUUUCCGCAAUGGGCGAAAGCCUGACGGAGCAACGCCGCGUGAGUGAUGAAGACCCUAGGGUUGUAAAGCUCUGUCGGAGGGGAAGAAAUAAUGACGGUACCCUCCAAGAAAGCCCCGGCUAACUACGUGCCAGCAGCCGCCGUAACAC
rnacentral:rRNA from 1 species